GCAGUCGUGGCCGAGUGGUUAAAGCGAUGGACUAGAAAUUCAUUGGGGUCUCCCCGCACAGGUUCGAAUCCUGUCGACUGCG
rnacentral:tRNA from 2 species